CCCUCCCGCAACCUGCGGGCGGCGGCGACCUGGCCCUCGCGCGCUCCGGGGCUAGAGGUUUAGGGGACCGCGGGCCCGAUUGGGGUGGCGGUGAUUGUCGCUGACCCGGAAGAAGCUUGGCUCGCCCGAAGGAGGGGAGGAUUAAUGACAAAGACUGCCCCGUUCUUUCCCAUUCAAUCCAGUCUUCGGGGGCGCGCCUAGUCAAAGAGACGAAUGGGGGAAGGGGUGUGCGUGUGUGUGUGUGUGUGUGUGUGUGUGUGUUUAGGGAGGGGAGACGCCAGCGACGAAACGCCUGCAGACUCACCCUGGAUAGAUUUCUUAAAAACUAAAAAGGUGCGGCGGGGAACAAGGGGCGUAGGCACAAGCCAUAGCUUCUUGUCCUUUGCAGUAAGACAUUCAUUUGUUUAAGGUGGCAAGGCCUCCUUUUUAUGGAUCCAGGUUGUCGCCGAGGUGUGUCUCAGUGUGUGACCUCCCCGGCGCCCAGAACAGUGUGCACUUCAGCGUGUGGGACGUUGUAUUCCAGGAGCCACCGUGUGCCGACACCUUGGUGUGCCCACAGCUGUGCAGAAUGAAUCACAGAUACCAGAGAUGGAAAACACCUGUUACUGUCGGUCAUCGAGCUUGGCAAGCACUGGACAAAGGCCAAUGAAUCCAUGGAUGAUCACACCACUAAUGGAAUAACUCAUUACUGCUAAGAGAUGCUGGAAGAUUUCUUACAGAAGGUGUAUGUGGAACUAUUUGGAUGGAAAGAACUGGGUGUGGUACCCAGCAGAGGGCACAGUGCUCCUGCUGGUUUUAUGGGUCUCAGGCUCUGGAUCUGCGCUGGGUUCUGACCUUGCUUCUGCUUCUGUGAGUCUCUGCCUUUCCCACUGCCUACCGGUCUUAGAAGACUGAAGUCCCUUUUCUUCCCGGACUCACUCUGGAGCUUGCAUACCUUCUAAAUAGAUGGCAUGCACUGCUUUUUCUCUUCCUUAAGCUCAGUUUCUUAAGCAUAUGCGAAAGACAUAUAUUUGAAUCUCUUUUAUACUAAUCUAAGCUGUUCAGGGUUUGGUCACAUGCCAACCAAACCAGAGCUAUUUUGGGGGAUGUUUUUCUAAUUGCAUUCAACUUCACAAUUUACCUGAGAAAAUUACAGCAUUUCUAUCACCAGUUUUUAUCCAUAUUCAAUCUUCAAUCAUCCCUCUGUGGAAAAGUGGGAGAUUUUUAACUGUUUCAUGUCCGCUUCUAGCAUUAGCCAUAUGAGGCUAAUGUAAGCUUCAUAUUUUCACUUAUGUCACCAUCUGUCCCCUCACCCUCACCCCAACAACAAAUUUCUCUAUGAUUCCGGGGCCCAGUUCAGCCUGGCCUUAGUUAGAAAAAUAAGGCCUCUCUGCCUAUCCCUGCUCUCUCCUACUACUCAAUCCACUCUGCACCCUCUAACCUUCCCAUCUCCAAUGUCAACUGUAGCCCUCCAUAGGGGCCAUGAUGUCAUUAUUUGAAUUUGCUAGCAUCCUUCUCUUAGGGGAUUCUUUCUUCCCCUAUUCCAUGUGGUCCUGGUGGAGCUGUCAAUCAUGGUGUCUGAGGUUCCCCCUCCCCCAGUUACAAGUGCCUAUUCCACUCUUGGCCAAUCAUAUUAUUCCAUCUCCAUACCCCACAGUGAUUGGUUCAGGGAGGGGCAUAUGACCCAAGUACAGACCAUCAGAGAUUUCCAUGAGAUUUAUAUACAGCUAUUGGGAGAGAGAAGUUCUUUAAGCUGGAAGAAUUUGAGGUGCUGCCUAUCAGUUGUCAUCUUGCUCACCACUUGGGAAAGGCCUAUCUGAAAAAUGAAGUUGAGGGGCCGGCCCUCUGGCGGAGUUAAGUUCCCAUGUUCUCUUCGGCCCCUGGGGGUUUCCCUGGUUUGGAUCCCGGACACUGACAAGGCACCCCUCAUGGGGCCACGUUGAGGUGGGUCCAGCAUGCCACAACUAGAAGGACCCACAACUAAAAUAUACAACUGUGUGCUGGGGGAAUUUUGGGAGAAAAAGCAGGAAAAAGAAAAGAUUGGCAACAGUUGUUAGCUCAGGUGCCAAUCUUUGAAAAAAAGAAAAGAAGUUGAACAGAGGCAAAAAGGAUAUGAGGGAGAGACAGAGCUCUGGUGGUAUCAAUUCAGUUCUUGGACCCAGCAGUUUUUAACACCAGAUACCCCCUUGGACUUCCUAGUAUGUGAACCAAUGAAUUCCCCUUUAUACCUGAGCUGACUGAGUUGUCAUCUACAAUUGAAAAACUAUUGACGUAUUCCUUCUCAGAUAUUUACCCUCUUCACCCACCUCCUAUUGCCACCCCAGUUUGGCUGCUAUUACAUGUGGCUGGCAGCUAAAGCUGUGUCCCUCUGCCUAGAAAACAUUCAUUUAAAGAAUUCUUUUAUACUCACUAAAAAAUAGUUUACUUAUUCCGUUAUUCUUAACUUUGUAUUAUAGAAAAAUUUAACCAUAAGCAAAAGAAAGAAUAGUAUAACAAAUCUUCAAGAACCCAUCUCCCAGCCAGCAUAAACAAUGAACAGCAACCAAUAUUUAUUGACAUAUGCUCAGUUUUCCAUGUUUCCAUUCUCUCUUACAUCUCCAUGCCUUUGGACUCACAGUUGCCUCUAUGUUUCAUCUUUCUGUAUUUUUCAUUUGCUUACUCUUAGAACAUUAGGUCUUUCAGCCAAAGUCACCCAGAUUUGCUUCAAGAUUUAGCACAGGUAUCAUUUCUACUAUGAAGCCUUAUUGACUUCCAUAUACAAGUUGGGUGUUCCUUCUGCUCUUUUCUGGUAGCUCCUUCUUCAUACUUUUAUAUUACAAAACGCUUAUUCAUUCAACAAACAUCUAUUGAAAAAUUUCACCAUUUCAGGCACUGGAGAACUAGCAAUGAACAAAACAGGCAAAAAUUCUCACCUUCAUGGAGUGGAGGGAGACUGACAAUAAACAUCAUAAGUAAAUAAAUUAUAUUGGAUGUUAGAAUGUGAUAAGUGCAACAAAAAAAAGGGAGUUUAAGGGGAAUUGUGUGUAUAUUCAAAUUUUAAAUAAGGAAGAUCAGAGAGGCUGUGCUUAUUAUACUGCAUAAUGGAUACCUGCUUACUUUUUUGUCUCUGCAACUGGACUACAUCUUCUUGAAAGCAGGGAUUGUGUCUUACUCUUUUUGUAGCCCCAGCACCUAGUACAGUAGUGCAUUUUGUAACAGUUGUGGAAUAAAUAGAAUAAACAAAAAAUACAAGACACAAACUCGAAAGACUUUUGGUGUCAAGGAAGCUUUUUUAAAGAUAGUACAUAUACAUGGAAAAAAAUUCAAACAGUUCUCUCUGUAAAAGAGUAUAUAAUACAAAUCAAAUUUUCCAUCUAGCCCUGGGCCAGUCCUCCAAAAUUCAUCCCGAUGGCAUCCACUGUUACUUAUUUUUUUAUGCAUCACGCCAGAGAUUAUCUACCUAUCAUCUAUCUAUCUAUUGAUCAAUCUAAAAUUAUGAGUAUUAUCUUGGAAAUCAUUUUAUUUCAGUAUAUUCAGAACUGCCACAUUUUAAAAUUUAGCUAUACACUAUCGUCUGUACAUAUGUAUUGGAAUAUAUUUUACCAGGCUUCAGUUGAUGGAUAUUUAAGUAGUAAUGAAGCUGUAUUGAUGAACCACUCAGCUCUUUGGGAAGUCAGGUUGUGCUGAUUCUGAUGAUCAAAUCUUUCAUACUUAACUAAGUCAACACCUCCCCAUCGGGGAGGAGGCCAGUCUCUACACCUCUUCAUGUAUUAUUUAGUUUAACCACAACCUCCUGAAGCUGUUAUUAUGAUGCUCACUUUACAAAGAAGAAACCUGAGUUUUUCAGAGGUUAGGUAAUUUGGCCAAGAUCAUACAGCUUGGAAGCAGGGAGCAGGCCUGUCUGACUCCACAGGCCAUGUUUUGCCACCAUUGGAGUUUUGGGUUCUUCGGCUAGGGAUGAAACAGAGAGGAUUUACACAGACUGCCUAGUAGACUGUCUUAGAUGAUCUUUAAGAUUCUUUCAGAAUUUGGAAAUGCUCUAACACUGUGCCACCUACAACUGGCCGUUCUCUGCUAUUUUCUUUCUGGCUUUGUGCCCUGGGAGACUGACCCCUGCACCAACUGGGCUCCUUUGCCCUCUUGCUGCUGGUCAGCUUUCCCCAAAGGCAAGCACCAGCAUGAGACUGGAGGAUGGGGGAACAGAGAGAUUAAUAGAUUUCUUUCCCACUCCCUCCCUGCUUUGGCACCACAGUUUUAGGGGUGACCAUGUCCCACCAUUAGGAUAGUUAUGGGAGGGUGCCCCCUUCUCCUUGGGUCCACCUGUCAAUGGACUCUGGUAACACAAUUUCUGCCUUUUGCCCAAAUAUCUUCCCUCUCCUUCUAGUCUCUGGAUGUUUCAGCAUUCUUUCUUGGUUCCUAUAACCAUGCCCACACUUUUGUAAAUAGUCUCCAUAUUAAAAGUCUCUUCAGGUGAACCAUUUAUAAUUAGAUUUUAUUUCCUGUCAUGAUCCUAUUGUAAAUACUAUUUUAAGAUAUGCCUUUCAGGGACUCUUAAAGACCUGAUACUACAAGACCCAAUGAAAUUUAUCUCUAAUGGUAAAAUUUCAGGUUAGUAGGGCCAGCUCUUUGGAGCUAAUCUAGACCUUUUAACUCUCAAAUUCUAUCUACUUGGCAGCAGCUUACUUGGCCAAGCACUGAGAACUCCUCUCCUAUUGGUGUGUGAGGUUGUCAGCAGAUGGAUUUUUUUGUCAUUGAUCUAUUUCUUAUAAUUUUAUGUAUGCAUCAGUAGGCAUUUAACAUUUUAACAGCGUUUUCUAAGACACACACAUACACAACUUUUCUUCCCCUACAGAACUGCUGGAGAGAUGUAUUAGUUAUCUAUAGCUGCAUAACAAAUUACCACAAAACUUAGCAGCUUAAAAUGUUAUUUGUGGUUUUUAAACAAACCCACAGUUUCUGUGAGAGUGUCUUAGUUGAGUAAUUCUGGCUCAAGUUCCUUCAGGAAGUUGUAGUCAAGCUGUCGGCUGGCACUGAAGUUGUCCGAAGGUUCUGCUGGAGGAGGUUCCAGUUCCAAGCUUAUUCACAUCAUUGUUGGCAGGCCUCCAUUCCUCGCUGGCUGUUGAUUGGACAUAGUUCCUUACCAGAGUAAGUUUUUUUACACCCCCUGUGAGGACCAGUUUUCAUCUCCCCCAUUGAGAAUGCAUGAUCCAAGGUGACACUUGGUUUCUCUACAGAACUGUCCUAACCAGCUGCGGAUACCAAAAGUGUGAGUCAUUUGUUGACAAUACAUGAUUAUCAAGAUGAAGUCUUUGUUUAAUUGGUUUUAAUUAUUACCACCAACCCCAGAAACUGGCUACAAGUGAACUCGUCAUGAGCUUAAAUAGAAGUGAAUGCAGUUUUUCUGACUAAGCCUAAAUAUGAUUUUAUAAAUGGAAAAAACUGAUCCUAAGAAGUAGCAAUCUGGGCUUUGUCUUUCACCUGCAUCUGCCUUUGAGUGGACUUACUGAAGAGCUUUGGGUGUCACCUGGAGAUGUCACCAGGGGGAUCGGAUCUGGCCGUCAAAACUCUGCCACAUUCUGGAAACCAUUGGGGAUAAAAUAAUAAAGUUGAAAGAAAAAGCUGGUAGUCUAUGAAGUGCUUUGAAUCCCUUUGAAAUAAACAUAAUCUGAGGUUUGAAAAAUAUUCCUAUUCCUUAUUGAAUAAGUGUCAAAAUACCACUGGGUCUCCCUUUUGUGGAUGAUUUUCCACUCAGUAGCUGUGUGCUUCCCCUAAGCUUGUAUGUUUUGUUCCUUUUAACUACUGGAAAUUUCUUCUGGGCAGAGACUAUCAUGAAGAAAUCAAUCCUGUCUCUUGUGUACCUUGGAUUAUUAUAAACUUGACUAUGAAAAUCAUCUCAAAAAUCCUUAUUUACAAGAUUAUUAAUUGGUCCAGACAUACCAGGACAGUUGGCUCUAUACUGACAAGUUGGGGAUGGCUCUUUACAAAUGACUUUUUCAGGGAUUAAUAAUUAGAGAAGGAAACCUGGUCUGGGGAUAUUUGCCAGAAGUGCCGAUUUCCAUUUUGCAGUGAAUCAACAUAGAUACAUUCCUUUCUUCCUCUUAAACUGUGGUUCUCAAUCCUAGCUGUACACUGGAACAACUAGGCAAACCUUAAAAAUGCUGAUGCCUAGGCCUCACCUCAGAGAUUCUGAUUUAAUUGGUUGGGGUUGUAGCCUGGGCAUCAGGAUUUUUAACCUACUUACAUGAAAAUCUCUGGGGUUGGGUCUCAGGCAUCAGUACUUUUUAAAGCUCUCCAGGUGAUUCCAGCAUGCAACUAGAGCUGAGAACCACUGCCUCAAGCCUAGCUUCUUUUUGAGCAUGUAAGUCAAAAUUCACUCAACAGAGUAGGUACUUAAUAAAUUUUUACUCAUUGAUGGAUGAAUCAUAUAGAGUUAGAAAGCCUGGGUUUUACUUCCAAUUCUGCUACUAACUACCUGUGCAAGUUACUUCCCUCUCCUUCGCCCUAACUUACUUAUCUGCAAAGUGAGGAAAAUGGGCCUUAUUACAUCUAAGGCAUUUUCCUGUUCCAACUUUCUAUGGCUAAUACUAAUUGUUUCUUUGUAUUUUAAAGCUACAAAGGGUCCUUGAAACUUUUGUAGGAUUUGGUUUAUCAGAUAAAUAAAAGGGAAUAGUGCCACCAUUCUUCUUUGGCCAGUUAACUUUCACUGAACAGCUUUAGUAAUUUAUCACCUAAUUACUAGGUGCUGGACACUGAACAAAACUAAUGUAAUUUCUUUCCUCAUGGAACACAGGGGAAGAGGCUGCCCUUACAUAGAGUGAUCAUGAAGGUUAUAGUUAAGCAGAAACCUGAUAGGAGGUGUUAAUUCACUCAACAUUCAACAAAUAUCUAUUGAGCUCUUCCUACGGGCCAGGGUUUACUCUUGGUGUUAGAAAUAGAGCAGUGAAAAAAACCAAAGUCCUUUACUUGAGGAGCUUGCAUUCUGGAAGUGAAAAGGAGGCAAAGGUGGUCUGGAGUCUGUGUGUUUAUGGGAGUGGUGGGUGGAAUGGGGGUGCAUCUCAGGCCAAGGAACUAGGUGGUGGAAAGAUCCUGCGGAGGUUAGCUGGUUAUUUCAGGAACUAAAAGCAGGCCAGUGUGGCUAAAACAUAGUGAGGGUAGUGAGACUUGGUUGGAGAGAUGAACUGGUGCUGGACCACAGAGAUUUUUCAGGCCAUGAAAAUGAGUUAAGAAGGUUAAAUAUUCCAUAUUUGGUUUAUGAAAAGCCUCUAGCAUGAAUUUGAAUUGAGUCUGGGUUUGAAACAACUGUGCAGGGUUAGUACCUCAGCUGAUGAUUGAGCCCCACUUAUAUACCUUAAUUAGCCAUAUUCUUGAAUUUGGAAAUGCAAGAACUUCUGCAAUGUCUGUAUAUUGUUUACCCACAAGGCUGCUAUAAUACUAGUUGGUUGGUGGAGUCAUGGCAGUAGUGAGUAUGUGUGCAUCCCUGGGAUGGAGGAUGGAGCUAUAGCCUGUCUGAAUCUUAAAGGUCAAAGAUCAUGACCCAUAAAAAAAGGUCUUAUCAAAGGAUUUAUAGAGAUCUACAGUAGCACCAAGAAACAUAUUUGGUCAUUUAUUCAUUUGUUAAUU